GAGCAUCAAGGACCAGGGUUUUUUGUUUUUUUUUUUCUUAACAAGCACCGAGAUGUAAUAAUAAUAAUAAUAACAAUUUUAAAAUGUUUUCCAACUUCACAUUCCGUCUUCAACUCCAGACUUCAGAGCCAUCCUGAUCACUAUACGGAAAUUUGUUGGGAGUAAAGAGUGCACAUCACGCCAUACGUUGUUUGGAUAGCAACACUUAAAACUGCAUGGAAGGAACAAGGCUGAAGUGAGCCUGGAGUCCUGCAGCCAAUCAUCAUUAUGGAAAUACGCUUUUAAGCCUUCUCAUUGGCUGAUACUCAGGCCAGUAUAUUCAGUUAGCAGCAAUACAGCCGAGUCUGCACACCGACCUCAGCCUGGUUUAUGCCUUUUGUGGAGGAGAGAGUCAGGUCAUCGUAUUUUUCACAUUCCCUGCUCCACAAAGCAUUCUUUGUAAACAAGCAGUUAACCAUGGAGAAACAUAUUAGCUAUGUGCAAAUGUAUUCCCACUGGGAAGAUGUUAGUGUUUUUGUAACACUAGUCACUCUGAAAUGUCUGAUUUUUUAAAAAUAUUUUUUAAAUUAUUUAAAAAAAACCUUUUGAACAAAAUCUUAAUUUGAGCUGGGUUUUUAUUGUCUUAUUUUAUUGUCUAUAAAUAAAAGUCCUCCACUGUUGCUCUUUGUUUCUGAUUUGUAAAAGGACUGUGCAGGAUUUUUUUUAACUAAGGGAGCUGAGAGGUGUAUAUGUGAUGACAGUGUCAAUGCUAAAAGUACCAUAGCAGCAGUAACUAAACCAGCAUUUCUUCUUUUAACCUGGCAUCCAA